GACGAACGCUGGCGGCGUGCCUAAUACAUGCAAGUAGAACGCACAGUUUAUACCGUAGCUUGCUACACCAUAGACUGUGAGUUGCGAACGGGUGAGUAACGCGUAGGUAACCUGCCUGGCAGCGGGGGAUAACUAUUGGAAACGAUAGCUAAUACCGCAUAAUAUUAAUUAUUGCAUGAUAAUUAAUUGAAAGGUGCAAUUGCACCACUACCAGAUGGACCUGCGUUGUAUUAGCUAGUAGGUGAGGUAACGGCUCACCUAGGCGACGAUACAUAGCCGACCUGAGAGGGUGAUCGGCCACACUGGGACUGAGACACGGCCCAGACUCCUACGGGAGGCAGCAGUAGGGAAUCUUCGGCAAUGGACGAAAGUCUGACCGAGCAACGCCGCGUGAGUGAAGAAGGUUGUCGGAUCGUAAAGCUCUGUUGUAAGAGAAGAACGGGUGUGAGAGUGGAAAGUUCACACUGUGACGGUAUCUUACCAGAAAGGGACGGCUAACUACGUG
rnacentral:rRNA from 1 species